AAAUGCACAACAAUGAUUAACCACGCAAGGCGGCACCGUGACAGGAGCGUGAAACUCGUGCUAGGUACGAGAAAGUCGAAUACCAGUUGGAACAAAGCAUUAAUCGACAGAGCAACGGAGUGAAAUCCCUGGGAGAGAAAUAAUUCAAUAAGGAGGAAAAUGGAACAAAGUCUAAGUUGCGGUAUGCCGGCUUUUUACUCUCCCUCUUUUACUCAGGGACUCGUCCUUCCGCUUGGUUCAUAUUCACACGCUGGCCAACGCAGUAACGCAGCGAUGGGUGUGCCAGAAGUAUAGAAACUAAACAUUGUUUGUUCACUGACAGUCAAUGAAUCCACACCCCAUAGAUAUUAUAUUUUUCCCUUAUUUUUAUUUCUAUCCGAUCCAAUCAAUCAAAAAUAAUAAAUCUUCUUUAUAUUAAAAGUAUCAAAACGAAAAAUAAAUAGAGAAUGUCAAUAUAA